UACGAAGGGGGCUAGCGUUGUUCGGAAUUACUGGGCGUAAAGGGCGCGUAGGCGGCCUUGUGAGUCGAGUGUGAAAUCCCCGGGCUCAACCCGGGAACUGCGUCCGAUACUGGCUGGCUUGAAUCCGGGAGAGGGAUGCGGAAUUCCAGGUGUAGCGGUGAAAUGCGUAGAUAUCUGGAGGAACACCGGUGGCGAAGGCGGCAUCCUGGACCGGCAUUGACGCUGAGGCGCGAAAGCCAGGGGAGCAAACGGG
rnacentral:rRNA from 1 species